GCACCCUUGGUGUAGCGGUAACACAUCUCACUCGAAUGAACCGAGAGGCCUCGGGUUCGACUCCCGGAGGGCGCC